rnacentral:tRNA from 1 species
GGGACUCUAGUUUAAACAUAAUACAUAGCACUGUCAGCGCUAAAUUAAAGGUAGAACCCUUUGUGUCCCC